AUUGAACGCUGGCGGAAUGCUUUACACAUGCAAGUCGAACGGUAGACGGGGGUAACCCUCGAGAGUGGCGAACGGGUGAGUAAUAUAUCGGAACGUGCCCAGUCGUGGGGAUAACGUAGCGAAAGUUACGCUAAUACCGCAUACGAUCUAAGGAUGAAAGCGGGGGAUCGCAAGACCUCGCGCGAUUGGAGCGGCCGAUAUCAGAUUAGGUAGUUGGUGGGGUAAAGGCUCACCAAGCCAACGAUCUGUAGCUGGUCUGAGAGGACGACCAGCCACACUGGAACUGAGACACGGGCCCGACUCCUACGGGAGGCAGCAGUAAGGAAUAUUGGUCAAUGGACGCAAGUCUGAACCAGCCAUGCCGCGUGGAGGAUUAAGGCCCUCUGGGUUGUAAACUCCUUUUAUCUGGGAAGAAAUGCAUUUUUUCUAAAAUGCUUGACGGUACCAGAGGAAUAAGCACCGGCUAACUCCGUG
rnacentral:rRNA from 1 species